UUCCUUCUUAAAAGCUCUUGUUGAGUCAGUGUUUGUGGCUCAGUAAGAUGUCGUGGAAGGAGACAGCAAUAGUAUCGCUCGUGGGUGAAGCGGCAGCCAGUGCUGUUGGCUUCAGUCGGUGAUUUGACAAGG
rfam:Charadrius vociferus contig43208, whole genome shotgun sequence.